rnacentral:rRNA from 1 species
GGGUGCUCGAGUGGCGAACGGGUGAGUAACACGUGAGUAACCUGCCCUUGACUUUGGGAUAACUUCAGGAAACUGGGGCUAAUACCGGAUAGGAGCUCCUGCUGCAUGGUGGGGGUUGGAAAGUUUCGGCGGUUGGGGGUGGACUCGCGGCUUAUCAGCUUGUUGGUGGGGUAGUGGCUUACCAAGGCUUUGACGGGUAGCCGGCCUGAGAGGGUGACCGGCCACAUUGGGACUGAGAUACGGCCCAG